rnacentral:rRNA from 1 species
CGGACCAAGGAGUCGUCUUCGUAGCGAGUGUUCGGGUGUCAAACCCCUACGCGUAAUGAAAGUGAACGCAGGUGAGAGCUUCGGCGCAUCAUCGACCGAUCCUGAUGUUCUCGGAUGGAUUUGAGUAAGAGCAUACGGGGCCGGACCCGAAAGAAGGUGAACUAUGCCUGUAUAGGGUGAAGCCAGAGGAAACUCUGGGGAGGCUCGCAGCGGUUCUGACGUGCAAAUCGAUCGUCAAAUAGGGCAUGGGGGCGAAAGACUAAUCGAACCUUCUAGUAGCUGGUUUCCGCCGAAGUUUCCCUCAGGAUAGCAGUGUUGAACUCAGUUUUAUGAGGUAAAGCGAAUGAUUAGGGACCAGGGGGCGCUAUAUAGCCUUCAUCCAUUCUCAAACUUUAAUAUGUAAGAAGCCCUUGUUGCUUAAUUGAACGUGGGCAUUCGAAUGUAUCAACACUAGUGGGCCAUUUUUGGUAAGCAGAACUGGCGAUGCGGGAUGAACCGAACGCGAGGUUAAGGUGCCAGAGUAGACGCUCAUCAGACACCACAAAGGUGUUAGUACUCUUGACAGCAGGACGGUGGCCAUGGAAGUCGGAAUCCGCUAAGGACUGUGUAACAACUCACCUGCCGAAUGUACUAGCCCUGAAAAUGGAUGGCGCUCAAGCGUCUCACCCAUACCUCGCCCUCAGGGUAGAAACGAUGCCCUGAGGAGUAGGCGGACGUGGAGGUCAGUGACGAAGCCUAGGCGCGAGCCCGU